CGCGUAGGCGGACUGUCAAGUCAGUCGUGAAAUACCGGGGCUUAACCCCGGGGCUGCGAUUGAAGCUGACAGCCUUGAGUAUCGGAGAGGAAAGCGGAAUUCCUAGUGUAGCGGUGAAAUGCGUAGAUAUUAGGAGGAACACCAGUGGCGAAGGCGGCUUUCUGGACGACAACUGACGCUGAGGCGCGAAAGUGUGGGGAGCAAACA
rnacentral:rRNA from 1 species